CUUCAGCGAGCCCAGCCACAGCGGGGUGUCGCGGUCCUGGCCGUAGGUGGCCAGCAGAGCACCGGCCUC
rfam:Streptomyces ipomoeae 91-03 gcontig_1108499722205, whole genome shotgun sequence.